rnacentral:rRNA from 1 species
UACGUAGGUGGCGAGCGUUGUCCGGAUUUACUGGGCGUAAAGAGCGCGCAGGCGGUCGUUCAAGUCGCGUGUGAAAGCCCCCGGCUCAACUGGGGAGGGUCACGCGAUACUGAUCGACUCGAAGGCAGGAGAGGGUAGUGGAAUUCCCGGUGUAGUGGUGAAAUGCGUAGAUAUCGGGAGGAACACCAGUGGCGAAGGCGACUACCUGGACACAUAUUGACGCUGAGGUGCGAAAGCGUGGGGAGCAAACAGG